rnacentral:lncRNA from 1 species
CAGCCGAGGUGCGGGCGGCCGGCCGGGCCGAGCGAAUUUCCAUUAUGAGACGGAGGGGAUGGUACAGAAGUGGAAGCCCAGCCACCCACUCACCACGGACUCACUGUUAACAAAGAGCAGCACAGCUGCUCCUGGAGAACUGGAACCAGCCAGCUAUGCACCCAUGACUUCAUUUCUUUCCUGCUAAUGAAGAGAGAGCAACCCCGAUUUGGUGAAAAUUAGAAUCGCAGCGCAUACUGCAGCACCUCUUGAAGCAGAUUUGCCAGAGCUGCAUUGCAUCCUCUCCUUUUUAGACAAGUUCAAAAUGGGCUUUCAUCCCCGAAGGAGAUUUUUUGGUUACUGCUGGCUACACAGAGGGGAAAAAAUUGUUAAACUUGUAUGAGUCGUGACCCUGAGAAUAAGCGACUCCCUGCCCAUCAUGUGAGAGCAGCAGAAGGCCGGGUAGGCCGUGCCUUGCAUAUGCUUGCCUGAGCUCUGCGAUGCUAAGCAUCCUUAUCACACUUUUAAAACUUACGGAUGGACAGAGCAGUGGAAAACAGCAGUGUGCAAGGAGCCAUUUCACACCGAGGGGUUUGAAAAACGUGCCCGGAUCUUUUUUGCAAAUACGUGUAAAAUUGACACUCCCCCCAGAUCAGCAGCCAUUUACACAAAGGUCUGGCCCUUAAAAUCAGUGACAUUUAUGUAGCGAUUGGAUUCUCCAUCCCUUUGGAGGAGCAGCGCUGCAGCGCUACAGGUCAGUACGUGUGGGUGGCACAGCAGUGCUCGUGGCAGCCCACAUCUGAGACCGACGCAGAGCAAAUCAUUUGCCCAUAGAGCAUAAGAAACGUCACAGGCCAUUUGAAAAAUGCAGAGAGAAAAGAAGGGAGAACAACAGCAAUAAGGGACUGUUUGACAAAAACCUAUUCAUGUGCGCAACCCAUUACCUCACCACAUACCUAAGCCGGAGCCACCGGGUUUUGCUUUUGUCUUAAGAAGAGAUCUGAGGGAAAUUUUCGGGAUGCCUUUCCUAUGUGUUCGAAGCAAAACUGCGAGACAAAUAUGCCUCUAAACGAGAGAUAAACCACUUAAUGCUGCAACUCCAACUUUAGAAAUCAUGAAAUCUUGAAUCGGUGCCUCAGCAGAAAAGGAAAGACUCAGAUUUGCAGAUGGCAAGUCGCUCGCUGCGAGCUGAAAGGGUCUAUACUAUAAUGGUAAAAAACAUGACUAUACACACAGUCUUCCUCUGUCCAUCUGCCACGGUUAUAGUCUAGUGUGGGGGUGAUUUUACUUAAAUUGGGACUGUUUGCAGGCUGAGUUCUCAUUUCUGCAAUCAGUAGGCUUGUUACGAAAAGAGUAAAUAGGUUUUAAACAACAACAACUGCUGUCUUGGUGCUGUGUGACGAAAUCAUUGCAAUAGGCUCCCACUGAAGAAAUCUACAUACGUCUGCUGCUGGUCUGCAUGGAAUCUCAUCCUGCAACUGUGAGUGUACAUCUAUGAAUGGAGGACUUGGGAACCUUCACGAUGCUUGCAAGUUGCAGAAGAGUGGUAACAACCAGAAAGACCAAUAAUGAAAUAGGAGAAAUAAAUUAAUAAUAGGGAAUGAGUAAUGAAAAUGGAUAGAUAUUAAUAUUUAAAGGCCAUGCGAAGAGUCAUCUUGUUUUACUCACUUCUUAUUCACCUUCAUCCAGGCAAGCUGAAUACGAGCUUGCCACGGUUUCCCCCACGCCCACUUUGCAAGAAAAAAUGUCAAUGGGCAGAAGUGUGUGUUUAUCAAGGUACAGAAGCACUGAAAACUCAUCAUGAACCAUGACUAUAAACUCCAAAUCAUUCACUUUUCCCCUUACUUGAGACUCACCAAGAAGAAGACAUACAGACAGAGAGCUGGUUUUGCAGAGGGACUUGCAUGCGUCUGGAAGGAGCUCUUGUGCCUCCUGCCAUCACCUUCCCCCUUCACGUCCCACGUCCUGCGUUGUGACACUGCUCCCGGGAGCUGUGCUCCUUACCAGCUGAUCUCACAUCUCCGGGUUGGUCCUGCACGCCUUCCCCAUGCCUUUGGGCUCGCAGUGGCAUUGACACACCAAGGAGAUGUCCCUGCUGCUCUGCGGGUCCCUGCGCCAUGCCCCCUUCCCAGAGGCGAGCUAGCGGCAGCAGGGAACAGAAGCAGCUGGCAGAAGAGGCAGCUCUGCCAGGCUGUCGGCGAAGGAAUUAAACAGAUCACAACAAAUAAGGGAAAUUGCCUCCUUAAUAUUUUACAUUUUCAAAACGGCCUGUGGUGUUACAGAAUGCACACAGUGGUUUUAGGGCCUGCGGGCCGCAAGCUCAGAGGCUCUGAAAAAUUGAUAAUCUGGAGGCAGACUUUUAAAGGGUUCACUUUAAAGCUUAUUCUGUGAAAAUCAGAAGAUAUCAAAUAGAAUUAUUAGCUAAUAUGGAUUCCUCUCUCUUUUGCUUUGUAGAAAACAAGAUGUGUGCAAACUGGAAACUCGAGCUUAUCUGGGCAAUAAACAAUUUCGAUCCAUGCUUUCUGUGCACCGAAGAAGCAAAAAAUAGGCAACUACCACGAAGGCUUAAUUCUGCUUUUCAUCGCACUAUAACUGCAUUGGUGAAGGGGGAAGAGAGCCUGGCUUAUCGUUUGCCAGCACCCUGCAAGGCAUACUUCUGGCUGUAUGUCACCUGCCCAGCCUAAACACGAACAAGGCCUAGAAGCAUAUAUGUAUAGAUGGAUGGCCCAUCACAUAUAUACAUAUCUAUAUCCAUCCUUUCUCCUUUAGAAUUUAGUAGUGACUUUGAUUUUGUCAUAGUUCAACACUUUGCCUCUAUCAAAAUGUUAUUGAUAUAAUGCAAUCCUGUUGUUCUGAAGUCACUGAAAAUGGUGCUCAGAAGGACUGGAAAGAAUUAUUUGCUGUAUACCUGCACAUAAACAUCACUGUAUUUCUUUAAUUGAAGAAAAUGAAUAGGUAUGUGAUAGUAUGUUGCAUGGUUCUAAAGACAGAAUCUUAGCCUAAAACUCACUGAAAAAAAAAUAAAUGGGUUUUAAGCUAUGCAGGAGUUAAACGACCUAGCACCUUGGUCACUUUUUUCUGUGUCGGGUGAGUACAGGAUACAGGGAUUCUGACAAGGAGACCUUUCACAUUCACUUCUACCAGUAUUAUCCCAAGGCUGGGGAGGAUGAAGAGCAAGGCUCAUACUUAUAAUCCGGAAUGCUGUAAAAUCUCUCUCUUCAGCUUUUCAGCUAAACUGAGAUAUUUAUCUUAACGAGAACUAAUUAGACCUAAUUUCGAUGGCAUAUCAGUUAUUUUCUUCAUUAGAGUAGCUAAUGCCAUGUUCAGAUAUCAUGGUAAUCAAGUUUGUGAUUUCUGGAAAAACUGGUUAGAAGGCUUAGUAUUAAGUGUAUUUCCAACUGUGAAAUUUAUCCUUCUGAGCAAUGCCUCCCAGUUUACUCACUUUGUUCCAGGAUUCUCCACAGCAUAUGGCCACUGGAACCCAUUAAAUAACAAGAAGUAAGACAAAGUCAGCGAUGAGUCAAAAAUAGCUGCACUAGUGAACUGCCUUUCUAAUUUCUGUCUUUAACAAGAAAAAUAAUGAAGAAUAAGACAUGCAAUUAGAAGAAAUUAAGGUCAAUUUUCAAGCCGGGUUCCUUACAUGGUGGUUUCCAAAUCCACAUUGGGCACCUCGAAUAAAAGCGGUCUGAUUGAACACCUGCAGCUCUUGGCAGUGCUCUCAGGCAUAUAAGGCAGCCAGGCAAUUCUUGCACACAAAGUCCCCGCUUCUCAUUUUUAUUUUCUCAAUUACCUAAACUCCUAAAACUCCAGGCCCUAAUCACUAGGUUGGCGUGUUCCUUUCUCCUCCUAAGGAAGACACCCAGUGCUUGGCCAUGUGUGUGCCAUAUAGGUGUUGGAUAAGUCCCACGUGCUUAGCAUGGGAGUGAAGGCGCUGUUUUAGUAAAGGAGCCUGGUACAACCAGCAUAUUUUGGCAAAACCCUCCCCUCUGCUUUUUAGCACUGCAGACUUCCCUAGACACGGAGGUGGGAUUCCUCUCAUUCAGCCCGAGUCAUCUAAAGCCAGGAGUGUGCUCUGUGUUUUUUCUAGGCUAAUUUUACAGUCAACAGAGAUGGGCUGGUGUCUCUGAACGGAGAUUCAUCUUACCCCAGGACAGCUGCCUCAGACAUGGAGAUGGUUUGUUCAUUAGAGGCGCCCAGCUCCCUCGCAGGAGGCUGGUUCAGACCAAGCGCCUUCCUCCUGGAGACCUACAAGAGGUUACUCUUGUAUCCAACUCCCUUCAUUUGCAAGUAAGAAGAUGCUUCAUCUGAACAUCAAAAAAGCAUAUUAACAAAAUAUCUGAGGAAAUAUAUUGUUAUGCUCUUCUGACCUGUGUCAUGAACAAUAAAAUGUUAUCUAGUUUCCACAGACUACAUGUACUGUGAUUACUUUGGCCCCUAUAAAGUCCCCUUAUACCAAAG